GCGCUGGCCGGCCUCGGGGCCGGGUCUCUGGCGAUUCAGGCCUUUUGCUAAGAGUCGUGACGUGCACGUGACCCCAUUGGACCAGCCUUUCCCGCAUGAAUUCUUGACAACUUUCAAGAUCCAGAUGGGAAGAGGGCAGUGCUAUAGGAGGGGAGACCACUGGUGACAUGCCAGAAAUUUAAAAAAAAAAUCAGGAUUAUAGUUAAGUUAUGAUGAUGAUUAUUGCUAAUUGUAAUAAUAAUAAUAAACACCUGACAUUCUUUGGGACCUACUCGGUGUCAAGCCCUGUCAUAAGUAAAUUCCCAUAAAACUGUGUACUAUUACUAUCUAUUUUUGCCAGUGAGGCUCAGGGGGUAGAGAAAUGGCUCAAGGUCAUACUGCCAGUUAUUUGUAGAUCCUGGACUUACAUGUUGAUUUUGACUCCAAAAUCCAGGUCCUUAAUUGUUACACAUUAGUUCACAAAAGUUAGGAUAUGCUCCAGCUCUUUUUUUUUUUUUUUCUUUAAAAAAAAAAAGGCUUAUGAGACUUAAGACUGUAGCCCUUUAGAGUCUCUAUUGAUUAGGAGUCCCUGUGUUUCUUCAGAUUCCCUGUCUCCUGGUAUUAAGGUUUGCUCCUCUAUCUUGAAUGAGUACCACUUUGAGCAGGUAGAUAAGCAGUACCUCAAGGCAGGGAUUCUGAGUUUCACCUAGAACUUGAGCUUUCCCAGAUUUAAGGCCAUUAUAGGAAUAAGCCAGAUUCUUACAAACCUAAUCAAAUUACUCCUAAAAAAAAGUUCCAGUGAUUUCAAUGCUUAGCUAUUGUUGCUUUUCUUUUCAUCUUUAUUUAUAGAAUAAACAGAAGGUUUUAGAUUUCUAUAUUUAGAAAUGCCAUCUGGUAGGCAAACUACUGAACAAAAAUGUUUUGUUACUUUCAUGUUACUUUGCUUUGUAACUUUCAUGGUCCUUUCAUGCAUUACUUUGAAAUGUAAUUAAGUUUCAGGAUGGUUGCUUGCUUCUUUUGUGGUGGAUCUUUUGCCCUUUUGAAUUUGAGGGAAAGAGUUAUUCCUGGAAGAAUAUCUGUUCAUACAUUCUUUCUCUUUGCCUGUUUCUUCUUCCUCUUCUUCUUCUCCUUUUCCUUCUUCUUCUUCAUUUGCUUUCAGCCAAUCUAAAGCCCAUUAUUAUUAUUAUUAUUUUAGGCAAGAAAUAGAUUUAUUAGGAUAGGAUGCUUGUGAGAGAUGCAGGCAGGCAGGCGAGGAAGCUCUGCCUCAAGGAUUCAGAGGGCUACAGUUUUAUCAUCGAAGGGGCUAUAAGCCCAUUAUUGAUGCACUCCCUCUUGGUAACUUCCGUUCAGUAUUUAAACCAAAAGUAUUUCAGAAAAACAAGUAAAUAAAAUAACAGCAAAUAGCAGUAACCCUUCCUUUUUGCAGUGUUUCAGUGUCUAUUGUGAUCUAAACACAUAAACGGUAAGGUCAGAAUUGAGUUUGCCGUGACACGAUGUGUUUAGAAAUCCUUUAAGACCUACUUGUUGGCUUUAAAAAAGCAGUUGAAGGAUUGUCCAUUUAGAGGAGUAUAUUUGGUACGUUCAAAUGAUCACAGUUAGAUGGAAUCACUUUAGUCAUGCAGACAACACGCAGUUACGCCUUUGUUGUUUUCCACCUUCUUGAGCAUCAGCUCUUAUCCUGUCCAUUGGCUGGUUUUUAUUUGCCAAGUGUUCAGUGGGACAGAGAAACACACACACAUUAACAUGUGACACAGAAUGUGUAAUACAUACACACGCAUACACAGAAACACAUCCAUAUUAACAACAUGUAUACAUUGGACAAAAUGUCUCCGUGUUAGGUAAUUUUUAAAAUUUUAUAAAUUAAUAGUUCCUUUAUACCUUUCCUUUAUCCAUUUAUGAAAGAAAAAUUGAGAAAAAAAUCCUAAAGGUCCUGGUUCUUAUAAAACAGCAAAAUAAAACUCUUUACAAAGGAAUGUUAUCUGAGAGUAUAAACUUUAGUAUAGCCAUUGCCUCAGUUCUGGGCACCUUACGUUUUCUCAGGUCAGUCCUUCUCGAUGUAGAUGUGGGAAGUUUCCCUGCUUUACCCCACUACCUCUGCUGGAGAUGCAUGGCAACCAUGGGGUCUCUUCAGAGCAGACGGGUCACCUGGGGCCUUGUGGGCCAGGCUGAGGCAGCAUGGGGACAGGGGACGACAUGAGCUAUUCAAACACGGACUGAAUGCCGUCUCCAGACAUGGGCUGUUGUCAUUCCUGCUGGACUGUUAACCAGAGUGCAGGCCCGCGGGGGGACCGUAGAGAUUCCUCCCUUUACCUCGGGCUGGGUGUUGAGUGUGUGUGACUGGGCACAGGAAUAGUGUUUUUUCGUUUUGUUUUUUGCUUUCUUUUUUAGGGCCACGCUUAAGACAUAUGGAAGCUCCCAGCUAGGGGUUGCAUUGGAGGUACAGCUGCCCGCCUGUUCUUCAGCCACAGCAACACAGGACCCAAGCCUGGUCUGCAACCUACACCACAGCUCAUGGCAAUGCUGGAUCCUUAACCCACUGAACGAGGCCAGGGAUCAAAUCUGCAUCCUCGUGGAUACUGGUCUGGUUCAUUAUCUCUGAGCCAUAACAGGAACUCCCUGGAAAAGUGUCCUUUAUGUUAUCAAGUGACUCCUCUUCAGGGAAGGGGUCGUCUCCCUUUUAAGCACGUCCCAUGACCAGUUCUCAUAUUCCCAAGCUACUUUCUGGAAAACCUCCUAGUCAGCUGCCUCCAAGUCUUCACAUGAGUCCUGGGAAUCUCUCCUUUGAUCUUUGCAAUGUCUGUGGAUUCUGGAAUCCAUUCUUUGCUCUUCUAUAACAGAGCUUGGUGGCUCUUCAAAUUCAGAGCAAGAAUUAUGAGAAGCUGCUGACCAGAUUCUGUUCCCUUGAUGGCGGGGAGGGCUCAAUCUUCAAACCUUCCCAAGGACUGAGAGGAAGUCGUUGUAGUCUGUACAUCUAACCUGUAAAAAAAUGAAAAGCAGGAAGUGUAAGUUCCUUAUCAAUACAGCCUGAACAUCUGUACCCUGCCCCAUUCAUUUAAGAGAAAAUGAAGUAUAUAUGUAAGUGGAACAGCAUGCAAUGAGAAGAAUAUUGAAAUGAUAGUUUCACCUUCAAGUAACAAGCUGUGUAAUAUUAAACAGGCCAUUCAGUCUCUUUGGGCUAGUUUCUCCAAAUAUGAAUCAAGGGAGCAGGGCUUGAUAAGCUCUCAAGUUCUGUGAUGCUCCUAGCAAGAAUUUUCAUAUAUGACAUGUGCCACUUUUCUAAAUAUACCUCUGAUAUUUAAUUCUGAUUUUAAUAUUAUGGCUCAAAACUCUUAAUUGUAUUGCACAAAAGUUUGUUUUGCAGUAUCAGAAAUAGCUGCAAGUAUAAUUCUUCUCCUUUGUGUGGCUGAUUUUAGUACCUUUACUCUGUGUUGCUACUCUUUUCCUGGCACUGUCUAAAAGCCAGGGAAAAAGAGAGCUAAAAUGGAUCUUUUAAAAAGGUAAUCAAAUCAUAUGAAAUCAAUCUUUGCAAUUUAAAAAGUAAGCAUAAUUUAUUCUGAAGUGGACUGUUUUCUGUCUAUCUGUAUCAUUGACUGAUGGAAAAUAUUUUAGGUAAAUGUAUGACAGUGGGUUUUCUAAUGCCAUAUCUGUAUUUUAUUAAGAAAAUAAAAAGUCUUUGUAAAAUUCUCCUUAGUUCAUAUUCUGAAGGCAAAUAUUCUCCCUUUGUCUCACUACACUUUCAGAGAAUUUUUUAUAAAAUGCUGGCAAAAUGUCUUUAAGAGGAAAUUUUCUUUGCAUAGGUUCAAAAUAAAUGUAAGUGUAUCUAUCCCAAAAUAAUUGAAAGCAGGGUCUUGAAGAGCUAUUUACACUCCUAUAUUUUCAGGAGUACUAUUCAAAAUCGUCACGAGAUAGAAGCAGCCCAAAUGUCCAUCAAAAGAUAAUCGGAUAGACAGUAUGGUAUAUAAUACAAUGGACUAUAUUAAUCAGCCUUAAAAAGGAAGGGGAUCUUGUCACAUGCAACACCAUCAGUGAAUGUUGACAUUAUGCUAAAUGACAUGAACUGUCACAAGAGGGCACAUGCUGAGUCCAUUUGUAUGAGGUACCUAGUGUAGUCAGAUGCUUAGAAACAGGAAGUCGAAGGGCGGUCACCUGGGACUGGGGCAAGGGGGGGAGAAGAAGAGUUGUUGUCUAAAGAGUUCAGAGUUGAAAGAUGCAAAAGUGCUGGGGAUCUGUUUCACAACAAUGCAACUCUACUUAACACUUGUGAAUGGUGCCCUUGAAAAUGUUUAAGGUGGUAAGCUUUAUAUUCUGUGCUUUCUAUCAUGAUAGGUAAUUAGCUACCAAGUGACCAAAUAGGAUUUGAAGGCAGUGGUUAUUCAGAGCCAUAAUUUGGCACUCAUUACACAUUUGCAUUUCUGUAUAUUUGUUUGGUUUGCCUUCACAGAGCUUAAGAGAAUAAAGGGAUUCACAGGUGAAAAGAAAUGUUUUUAUUAAACAGUUUCAAAAAUAUAACCCCACACACAAUCCCAAACUAACUUAGGCAAAAUUGUCAGUGUUCUGUGGUAGAAAUGCAAUGGCUUUGAGAUAUGAUUCCUAAAUUUUAAUACUUCUCCUAGCUCUGUGAUUUACUAAAUCGUAGUUUCUUAAGUGCAAGAUAAGAUGUAUUUUACUUAUUUUGGUAUCUUCCUGAAAUACGCAGAAUAGCAUCAUAACUGUUCCUUGUUGGAAUUGAGGUAUGCUCUUAAUUGACUUAUGUUUUGAAGAAAAAGUGUGUAAUAAGAGGGAAGCUCUACACAUCUUUGUGCAUCUACUUGCCACUGGUCAUAUUGUCAGUAGCCAGAAAGAGCCAGAGAGGUGGACAGACCAAGAAUUGGAGGAGGACAGACAGGGCCAGGAUCACACUCUUAGGACCGGUUUCCAGCGUCACUGGGAAAGAAGAAUGUUUUGAAAAACACAAAGCACAUUGUCAGGAAAUCAUGUCGUGAAUAUCAGGCCAAACUAGGACAUGACCCUGAGUGAAAAGAAGAACUGGGUUAUAAGGAUGAGGUAAAGAACAAACCAUAAUUCAGGAAGGACCGUUGCUUAACAUGAAGCAUGUAUGAUUGGAGCAUAGAGGCCAGCCAGCCAUUGAAGAGAGGAUAUGGCCCUGUGAGAAGGCGAUUAAACGGAUGGUGGUGAUGGGCAGGAAGAGCGCCUGGUCUCCUCUAAGAUCCAGCUGCACCUUAUGGGCUGUCUCGAGUGAGAGACGCACACUCAGAGACAAACACACAGCAAUGCACUUUGGUGGUUUUCUGGAUCGACUGAAGGACUCCCUAGAAACUUUGAAUCUCGCGUUUGACUACGCUUGUGUGUUUUUGAAAGCAACAACAUAUAAGAUUAAGGGCGACAAGAUCAUUCCAGUUCCCAACAAACAAGGCUUAUGAGAAGCUCCGUGCUUUAUAUCCUCAGCUAAACCAAAGGAGCACUAUUCACCUGGUACCAGUUAUUGUAUCAUCCAGCUUGGUAGGAGAACAACAAUUAACUUCUAUGGUGAUGUUUCCAAAAUUGUUGCAUCAUAUGCCCCAUCAGUAAAAGUUUUUAGUGCAUCUCUAUUAUAUAAAUGUAUUUAUUUAUAAAUUGUGUGAAUGCAUUAUUUGGUAAUAGAUUAAAUGCAUAUGAAAUAUAAAGUCAAAAUUUGAAAGCUUGGGAUAAAAAUAAGAUAUAAACAAGUUUUAAUAUCUUCUUUCCACAUUCCAAAGGACUCUCUUGCCCCGAUGCCCUGUUAGGAAACAACUUUUCUUGAGGAUGACGCUUGCACAUCUGAGCAUGGCAACAAUAGGGAAUUAGGUCAUUUUUAUGGGAAUGCCUCACUUUAAGAAAGCAUGAUAUAUAUCUCAAGGUCUAAAUUUACGAGAUAUAUUAAACAUGGUGUAAUUUCACUUUCAGUGAGUCUGUUUCUUUGAGCGUUUUGAAGGCAGAUUAGAUUGUUUUCCAUCGUUGUAUUUCCAGUGCCUAGACAAUAAAAGGAUUCUUCACAGAGUUAUUUUUAUUUUUUCUGAAGAUGCCUUUAUAUCUAAUAUAAAGUUUGACUUACCAAACCAGUUUUCAAAAAACUUUUCAGGGACACACCUGUGUGCGUGUUUCGUGUUUAUUUCUGGAGGCAGCCAUCUACUCUUUUCAUCAUGUGGCAUAGCAAGACUUCUCCCAGUGUGCCAUGCCACCUGGACCCCUUUGCCUCUGCCUCUCUGAUCUCUCAGCCAGGAGUCACUCUCCCCCUCCUUUCCUUGCCUGUUCACUCUUCAGAUCUCAAGUCUAUCUCCUCGUCCUUUGUCAAGUCGUUGUUGAAUCCAGAGCCCCUUAGACCUGCCCCUUGAGCAGGCAUGGCCACCACUAACGCAGCAUGCAAACAGUGGACCUUAGACUUUUCUGGCUCUCCCACUUCCUGCUAACCUACUCUGGUCCUAAAAACAAUAAUACCAACAAAAGUAAAGAGCUUCCGUUUAAUGUUGGCACCGUGGCAUGUCCUUUGCAAUGAUGCUGUCCCUGGAAGGCAGGCUGUAGUUGAGUGUUUCUGUGUGUGCAGAGAAAGAAUUGCCACUUAGUUUUUUUUUUUCCCAUACUCUCCCUUAGUUUAUAUUUACGUGGUUAUUAUCGAAUAUCUAAUAGACAAAAGAUGUUAAAAAAUAUCAUUCUCUACAGCUGUGUCAAUAGGAAAAGGACAAGAUGCAAAUAAGCCAUCUCCUUAGUAAUUUACAUUAAAAAAAACACACUAAACAUCAGCUUUUUGAACUCUCAGUGGCAAAAAACUCAACUUCUUGCUUCAAUUUACGCUAGUGAUGGUCUUUGCAGAACUGUUUAUCUGGGUAGUUCAUGUCUUUCUUCUAACAAUUUGUAUAUUCUUCUUGCCAGCAUUGAAGUCUAAGUGGAAAAACAUUAAUAAUAUUUUGUUUAUGAAGACAAGUGGGUUGACGCUAAUAAAAAUAUUGAUUCAUGUCUUGCUUCUCAGUGAGAAAUGCCACCCAUGAAGUCUGCUGGCACUUGCUCCUAAUAAUAACAAUAUAAUUUCAUGAAAGCCAGAAAAAGUACGUACCUUCACUUGCAAAAGUGUGAGUUAUUUAUUUUGCUUAACAAAAAAUGUAAAGUACAUCGAUGCUCAACGUUAGCUGAAAACAGUUUCACAGCAAAUUUUACCUAGAUUCUGUAAGAUAUCAGAAAACUUCUCAUAUCUUAACAUAGGCAGUAAGCAGGCACCUCCUUUUCUAUAUAGCUUAAACAUAAUAUUUAAAAUCUAAAAACAGUUUAAAACAUGAAAAGAUAAAUAAUAACCAGGUUUCAUUGGGUUUAUUUCUUGCUUAAAAAAAAAAGAGAUUCACAUACGCUAUAUAGAUUUCACUCUUCCUCUUCCCCAUAAGCAGUGUCCUAUUUAUGUGGGUUUUCUUUGACACUGUGCAGGUGGAAUUGAUAGACAAAAAAGUGUGUUUCGUGGUGAUUAAAGUCAUCACACGUAGUAGUGAUUCCCUUCGCCCGCCACCCUUGUCAGAGAAUGGUUCUAUUCAGUCACAUGGUUACCAUCUGGAAGCCACUUGGCGUAAUAGCUACCGCCAAUUUGUUGCUUAUUCAGGGGAGACAUACCAGAAUGGACGCGAGGAGGUGCCGUCCAUGUCUCCUUCCACACACACACACAGACUCAAAUCUCAUCGUUGUCUUUAAGCCCUUCUUUAGACCAGGGGGAAGCUCGAACUCUCAAUAAAUAUGUUCCUGUCUUAAAAUAAAUGUCCAGAAAACAUAAAAAUGCACUGCAAGUGACGUCUCUUGAUUAUUUCAGUUACACUCAGGACGUGGUUUUCAUUUUGACCCAUGACCCUGGUCAUAAACACAAAGUACCUGCGUUUGUUUCCCCUACAAAUUGUGCAUAUUGUGCAAAGCACCAAGUUUCCCCCAUAGCAUCAUUAAGGGGGCUUGUUCAUUUCCGAGUAAGGAAUCAGAGGAGAAAAAUAUAGUAUGUGGCACGAAACAUUCAGCCAGACUUUUUGUACUCAGUGGCGAGCGUUUCCUAACUGUAUUCCACAGGUGUCUAAGGCAUUUUCUGUAAGGUUAAUCCAAGAAGCUUCUCUAGGGAUGUCAUCUAAAUGCUUCAUGUGAGC
rnacentral:lncRNA from 9 species